GUUCAGAGCCAUGGUGAGUGACAGUGCCUUUGACAAACAGCUCCUUUGGAUCCACCACAAACACAGACGUUUUGGCAUCAAAAAGACGGUUUUGGGCCUCGAUCCGCUCCCGUUCAGGUCGUCUCAGAUCGGUGUGAACACUGUUGGAGACGAAGCUAAGAUGUCCGAUAAUUUAUGUCAGUAGCUCGCAUGGCUGCAAUUGCAGUGACCCCCAAGAUGCAGGAACCAGGAGAGUGAAGAUCAGGCGGAGGGCAGAGCACAGCUCGAAUGGCCUCGUCGAACACCGUCUUCAGGCCUCGCUGGGUCAGUGCUGAACACUCAAGGUACUUCACAGCCCCUAAGGAGCAAGAAGAGAGCAAGCUCAGAGACAUGUUUCCCAAAAGUUAUUAUUUCCUAAACCUAAUUCCUCCCGAACAUGAGUGUGCCUUCUAUCUUAUUCCUAUUUGAACUUUACCCAUAAUGUACCAUUUUUGCAACAAUAAAAAAAACCUCAGAUACAAGACGGCAGAUGUCUGAAUGGUUAAACAUCUCUGGUACCUCAGUUUUCUGUAUUAUUACGUUCCAAAAGACCUGUUGAAAAUCAAAUGGUAGAAAAACCUGAACAAUUGUUCCCAUAGU